CAAUGUGGGUUUUGAAGGCAGAGAGAAGCCUGGAGGUGGGAUUGAACUGGCCAAGUGGGGUCCAGAGGAUGCCAUCAGAUAGAGUCCCUCACAUUGUAGAAUGCAUGAGCAGAGGCCUGACUCCCAGGACAUGUCUGUGUGUCCUUACUAGUGGACUAGGAUGUUUCUGGUGGGGCCAGUUUGGGAGGGUAAUGAAAACUGUGGCUUUGGAACCCUGCCCUUCUCUGCCUUGAGAUUUUGGACAUAUUGUUGGCAUAUAUUUUCUCCUCUGGCCUGUAAGAGGUGAUAUUGUUACAAGGAGUAGGUAGCCAGGGAUUUCAAGUUCAAAAAAGGAAAAGUAACUAUUUAAAAUAAUCACUCCAUUUAUCGACUGCUUUGUAUCCUGUAAGAGAUUUUUCUGUGCAUCAUCUCAUUUAAUCUUUGUGGUGAGACAAGUUAUUGUUAUUUCUUUUUGAUAUCCAAGAGAAGGAAAUUAAGCAACUUACUUAAAGUCACAGAGCUGAUAAAGUGAGAUGCAGGGCCUACCCCAACUCUUGAACGCUUCACAAUGCUCACUUUAGGAGAGGGGCUCUUAACGUAUGAUUUGACAGCAUGCAAGAUCUUAUGGGUUAGGUAGUCAUUUUUUAAAAUGUUAAACAUGGAUGCAAUAUUUUUAUUUUGUUUAUUUACUUUUAUGUGGUUCUGAGAAUCAAACUCCAGUGCCUUACACGUGGGAGGCAAGUGCUCUACUGCUGAGCCACACUCCAGCCGCCAGGUAGUCAUUUUUGCAUAUAGGAUUAUCCUUCUUAUUGCAGUACUAAUAGAAAAAUAAGCAUGUUAGCUGGGGUUCCA
rnacentral:lncRNA from 1 species